rnacentral:tRNA from 1 species
AAAACAGAAGUAAAAAUUACACUCAGUUUCGACCUGAUAUAUGGUUAUAUCCCUGUUUUA